rnacentral:rRNA from 2 species
ACAGUAGGGAAUCUUCCACAAUGGACGAAAGUCUGAUGGAGCAACGCCGCGUGAGUGAUGAAGGUUUUCGGAUCGUAAAGCUCUGUUGUUAGGGAAGAACAAGUGCGAGAGUAACUGCUCGCACCUUGACGGUACCUAACCAGAAAGCCACGGCUAACUACGUGCCAGCAGCCGCGGUAAUACGUAGGUGGCAAGCGUUGUCCGGAAUUAUUGGGCGUAAAGCGCGCGCAGGUGGUUUCUUAAGUCUGAUGUGAAAGCCCACGGCUCAACCGUGGAGGGUCAUUGGAAACUGGGGAACUUGAGUGCAGAAGAGGAAAGUGGAAUUCCAAGUGUAGCGGUGAAAUGCGUAGAGAUUUGGAGGAACACCAGUGGCGAAGGCGACUUUCUGGUCUGUAACUGACACUGAGGCGCGAAAGCGUGGGGAGCAAACAGGAUUAGAUACCCUGGUAGUCCACGCCGUAAACGAUGAGUGCUAAGUGUUAGAGGGUUUCCGCCCUUUAGUGCUGCAGCUAACGCAUUAAGCA